CUUUAGGGCCGGUUAUGACCAAGUUUACCAUAGCAUUGAGAGAAAUUGGGACAUACAAGGAAGUUCUUCGGUCCCACGUUGAAACCGAGCUAAAUGACAAAUUACUGCAGUUUGUCAAUAUUGAUUUACUUGAGGUCAAGGAAGCACGUAAACACUUUGACAAGGCUAGUCUCAUUUACGACCA